GAUGAACGCUGGCGGCGUGCUUAACACAUGCAAGUCGAACGAAGCUCCGGAAGCAGAGAUUUCGGUCAAAGCGGAAGGAAGACUUAGUGGCGGACGGGUGAGUAACGCGUGGGUAACCUGCCAUAUACAGGGGGAUAACAGUUAGAAAUGACUGCUAAUACCCCAUAAGCGCACAGUAAGGCAUCUUACAGUGUGAAAAACUCCGGUGGUACAAGAUGGACCCGCGUCUGAUUAGCCAGUUGGCAGGGUAACGGCCUACCAAAGCAACGAUCAGUAGCCGACUUGAGAGAGUGAUCGGCCACAUUGGGACUGAGACACGGCCCAGACUCC
rnacentral:rRNA from 1 species